GAUGAACGCUGGCGGCGUGCCUAAUACAUGCAAGUCGAGCGAACAGACGAGGAGCUUGCUCCUCUGACGUUAGCGGCGGACGGGUGAGUAACACGUGGAUAACCUACCUAUAAGACUGGGAUAACUUCGGGAAACCGGAGCUAAUACCGGAUAACAUGUUGAACCGCAUGGUUCAACAGUGAAAGACGGUUUUGCUGUCACUUAUAGAUGGAUCCGCGCCGCAUUAGCUAGUUGGUAAGGUAACGGCUUACCAAGGCAACGAUGCGUAGCCGACCUGAGAGGGGGAUCGGCCACACGGGAACUGAGCCCCGGUCCAGCCUCCUACGGGAGGCAGCAGGAGGAAAUCUUCCGCAAGGGGCGAAAGCCUGACGGGGCAACGCCGCGGGGGGGAAGAAGGUCUUCGGAUCGAAAAACUUUGUUAUUGGGGAAAAAAAAAUGUGUAAGUAACUAUGCACGUCUUAACGGUACCUAAACAGAAAGCCCCGGCUAACUACGG
rnacentral:rRNA from 1 species